GAUGAACGCUGGCGGUAUGCUUAACACAUGCAAGUCGAACGGACUCUUCGGAGUUAGUGGCGGACGGGUGAGUAACGCGUGAGAAUCUGGCUUUGGGUUCGGGACAACCACUGGAAACGGUGGCUAAUACCGGAUGUGCCGAGAGGUAAAAGAGAAAUUGCCUGAAGAUGAGCUCGCGUCUGAUUAGCUAGUUGGUGAGGUAAAGGCACACCAAGGCAGCGAUCAGUAGCUGGUGUGAGGGGAUGACCAGCCACACUGGGACUGAGACACGGCCCAGACUCAUACGGGAGGCAGCAGUGGGAAAUUUUCCGAAAUGGGCGAAAGCCUGACGGAGAAAUACCGCGUGAGAGAAGAAGGCUCUUGGGUUGUAAACCUCUUUUCUUAGGGAAGAACAAAAUGACGGUACCUAAGGAAUCAGCAUCGGCUAACUCCGUG
rnacentral:rRNA from 1 species